AAACGACUCUCGGCAACGGAUAUCUCGGCUCACGCAUCGAUGAAGAACGUAGCAAAAUGCGAUACUUGGUGUGAAUUGCAGAAUCCCGUGAACCAUCGAGUUUUUGAACGCAAGUUGCGCCCGAAGCCAUCCGGUUGAGGGCACGCCUGCCUGGGCGUCACG
rnacentral:rRNA from 24 species